AGGAUGUCAGACUUUACAACAAAGAGAAGAAGCUCCUAACAUGGACUGUUCUCCAUAUGCUGUUGGAAAUGGUGAGGAGGGGACGUUCUUUGGAUCUAAGACGGCUGAUCCAGGCCGUGAAGAAUCCACACCAUCUAUUGACCCUUAUUUAGUUGUUAGACUCAACAGCUUAUAUGAAUCUGGGGCUUCAGAUCACAGCAGACAUAUUUAAUCCAAAGCUGCUGAUCUGUGUGUGUUAAAGGCGCCUCAGUGCAGCAGCUCACAUGCUGAAACACUGUAGAGGAGAACGCAGAGUAACGGAGUGGACAAGCUUGUUAAAUAAUGCUUUUUGCAGAUUCUGAUAGAUCACCAGUCACAUGCAAAAGUUUGAGCACCCCUGGUAUUUUAGGCAUUUUAGGUUUUUUGCGAAAUUUAGUGCACAAUUAUUAGUGCCUUUGCUGAGUUUAACAUAUUGGGCUGAAAAACAUAAAAAAAAUGUGGCAUAACUUUUACACAAAGGUCCAA